GCCUGGGUGGCUCAGUCAGUUGAGCGUCUGACUUUGGCUCAGGUCAUGAUCAGUUUGUGAGUUCGAGCCCCACAUCUGGCU
rnacentral:tRNA from 1 species